rnacentral:rRNA from 1 species
UGGGGAAUAUUGCACAAUGGGCGCAAGCCUGAUGCAGCCAUGCCGCGUGUGUGAAGAAGGCCUUCGGGUUGUAAAGCACUUUCAGCGAGGAGGAAGGUGGUGAGCUUAAUACGCUCAUCAAUUGACGUUACUCGCAGAAGAAGCACCGGCUAACUCCGUGCCAGCAGCCGCGGUAAUACGGAGGGUGCAAGCGUUAAUCGGAAUUACUGGGCGUAAAGCGCACGCAGGCGGUUUGUUAAGUCAGAUGUGAAAUCCCCGGGCUCAACCUGGGAACUGCAUUUGAAACUGGCAAGCUAGAGUCUCGUAGAGGGGGGUAGAAUUCCAGGUGUAGCGGUGAAAUGCGUAGAGAUCUGGAGGAAUACCGGUGGCGAAGGCGGCCCCCCUGGANGAAGACUGACGCUCAGGU